rnacentral:rRNA from 1 species
CANUGGGGGAACCCUGAUGCAGCGACGCCGCGCUGAAGGAAGAAGNAUCUUCCCGUAUUGUAAACUUCUNUCUGCUGGGGAAAANNNAUGACGGUACCUGACUAAGAAGNCCCGGCUAACUACGUGCCAGCAGCCGCGGUAAUACGUAGGGGGCAAGCGUUAUCCGGAUUUACUGGGUGUAAAGGGAGCGUAGACGGNAAGGCAAGUNUGAUGUGAAANCCCUGGGCUUAACCCUGGNACUGCUUUGGAAACUGUUUUNGCUCGAGUGNCCGAAAGNUAAGCCGGAAUUCCUAGUGUAGCGGUGAAAUGCGUAGAUAUUAGGAAGAACACCAGUGGCGAAGGCGGCUUACUGGACNGUAACUGACGUUGAGGCUCGAAAGNGUGGGUAGCAAACAGGAUUAGAUACCCUGGUAGUCCAAGGGCGAAUUC